AAGCUUAGCGGCGGACGGGUGAGUAACACGUAGGCAACCUACCUCUUGGACUGGGAUAACUACCGGAAACGGUAGCUAAUACCGGAUAAUUCCUUUUCUCUCCUGAGAAAAGGAUGAAAGGCGGAGCAAUCUGUCACCAGGAGAUGGGCCUGCGGCGCAUUAGCUAGUUGGUGAGGUAACGGCUCACCAAGGCGACGAUGCGUAGCCGACCUGAGAGGGUGAACGGCCACACUGGGACUGAGACACGGCCCAGACUCCUACGGGAGGCAGCAGUAGGGAAUCUUCCGCAAUGGGCGAAAGCCUGACGGAGCAACGCCGCGUGAGUGAUGAAGGUUUUCGGAUCGUAAAGCUCUGUUGCCAGGGAAGAACGUCCGGUAGAGUAACUGCUACCGGAGUGACGGUACCUGAGAAGAAAGCCCCGGCUAACUACGUGCCAGCAGCCGCGGUAAUACGUAGGGGGCAAGCGUUGUCCGGAAUUAUUGGGCGUAAAGCGCGCGCAGGCGGCUAUUUAAGUCUGGUGUUUAAACCUUGGGCUCAACCU
rnacentral:rRNA from 1 species